GCUUGCUCAGGAGUUAAGGAUCGUGAAGAUCUAUCCGCACUAUCCUACUUUAGGGUAUUAUGUUCUGGUAAUACCUUGUAUCCUGUUCCGGCGACGGUAACGGGUAAGGGGUGUUACAAUAUGUGUGAUUAUCCAAGUGCCCUAUCCAAUUUCGAAUGGUUCAUCGAGCAUCGAUAAGCUGUCAUCAAAUGUGCAAAAGUGAGUUAAAAUGAUCAGAUUUUGGAUUCAAGUUUCGAGCUUAGGAAUUGUCAGAGAAGCUUAUCAUGCUAUCGGCUGUCUUCGGUAUUUUAUAAGCUGAGUUUUCGAACCUAUGGCAUGUAUAGGCUAGAUUGUAAUUUGAAAUGUUGGAUUUUGGUUUUGUAUAAUCUAAGCCAUGCGAAAAUGGCUAACCCUUUUAUGUUUGAAUUCGGUUAAGUAUGGUUUAAAUUCAUUUUAGUCAUAAGGUUAUGUGCUAUGAAUGUAUAAUAUUUGUGUUAGGUACUACAAGCUUUAGAAAUGGUUGACGACUUAGGAUAUGCAUGUGAAUGGUUCGGCUAAGGUUAUUCAUGGAUAGAAGUAUAUGUGAUAUGCGAUUGAAGUGCUUGAUGA